rnacentral:rRNA from 1 species
UACGACUACAUAUCAGGCAUAUCAAUAAGCGGAGGAAAAGAAACUAACAAGGAUUCCCUUAGUAACGGCGAGUGAAGCGGGAAGAGCUCAAAUUUGAAAUCUUCAAGGUUCUACCUUGACGAAUUGUAGUUUAAAGAAGUGUUUUCUGUUAGAUGAGUAGCAAAAGUUCCUUGGAAUGGGACAUCAUAGAGGGUGAGAAUCCCGUAUUUGGUUAUUCAUUCUAGCUUUGUGAUACACUUUCAAAGAGUCGGAUUGUUUGGGAAUGCAGUCCAAAAUGGGUGGUAAAUUUCAUCUAAAGCUAAAUAUUGGCGAGAGACCGAUAGCGAACAAGUACCGUGAGGGAAAGGAUGAAAAGAACUUUGAAAAGAGAGUUAAACAGUACGUGAAAUUGUCAAAAGGGAAGCGUUUGACACCAGUGUUGUUUAGUUGAAAAUCAAUUCAAUAGUUUUUGAUUCUAAGUAGUAUUGACUUCAUCAGCUUGCUGCUUUCUUCUCAGAAAUUAUUGAAUGCACUUUUCAGUUAACAAGUCAACAUCAAUUUCUUUUGUUGUAAAAGGGUAAGAGGAAGGUGGCUUGCGCUUCGGCUCAAGUGUUUAUAGCCUUUUAUCUCUGCAAUCGGAGAGAUUGAGGUCUGCAGCGUAGAUCCUUCGGGGUUAGAUACAUUGGUGCUAAGCUAUAGCCUUGUAUAGACAACUUGUUGACUAUGCUCAGUCAUGUAGCUUACUCGCUGAUGCUAUUUUACCUACGCUUAGGAUGUUGAGUAGCGACAUACGCAC